CACAGUUGUGUUCUAAGUUCUAUUUAUUGUGCCACUUUUUCGGGGUUUUUUUUGGAAUGUCUCCAUCCCGAGAGUCGUGAUGCCACUGUGAACUUGAACAUGGAGUAUGUUGUUAUAUGAAUGACAGAUUUACAGUUAGGUCCAUAAAUAAGGGCAUUGACAUUGCUUGCCCAUUACAACAUAUUAGAAAUCAUUAUUAUGAUUUUCUAAUGUGUAGAUUUUCAAGUUUCAAUUUAUAUUUGAGGACAAAGAUAAAUAUUUCUGCAAUUCCACUCUAUCACCACUCACUUUAUGUUUAAAUAACCUCAAAUAUAAAUUGAAACUUCAAAAUCUACACAUUAGAAAAUCAGAAUAAUGAUUUCUUAUAUGUUGUAAUGGGCAAACAAUGUCAAUGCCCUUAUUUAUGGACCUAACUGUAAAUCUUUCAUUCAUAUAACAACAUACUCCAUGUUGAAGUUCACAGUGGCAUCACGACUCUCGGGAUGGAGACAUUCCAAAAAAAAAAAGAAAAAGUGGCACAAUAAAUAGAACUUAGAACACAA